rnacentral:misc_RNA from 1 species
GAAAGUAAAAGUCGUAACAAGGUUUCCGUAGGUGAACCUGCGGAAGGAUCAUUGUCGAAACCUGCCCAGCAGAACGACCCGCGAACUUGUAUAAACAACCGGGGGCGGGGGGCGUUCUCGCCCCGUGCCCCCGAACGGCGGGGAGACACUCGUGCCUUCUUGCCGAACAACGAACCCCGGCGCGGUCUGCGCCAAGGAACUUCAACUAAAGAGUGCCUCCGGUCGCCUCGGAAACGGCGUGCGUGCCGGGGGCGAAUCUUGUGCAAAACCAUAACGACUCUCGGCAACGGAUAUCUCGGCUCUC